GCUGAACGCUGGCGGCGUGCCUAAUACAUGCAAGUCGAGCGAACAGACGAGGAGCUUGCUCCUCUGACGUUAGCGGCGGACGGGUGAGUAACACGUGGAUAACCUACCUAUAAGACUGGGAUAACUUCGGGAAACCGGAGCUAAUACCGGAUAACAUGUUGAACCGCAUGGUUCAACAGUGAAAGACGGUCUUGCUGUCACUUAUAGAUGGAUCCGCGCCGCAUUAGCUAGUUGGUAAGGUAACGGCUUACCAAGGCAACGAUGCGUAGCCGACCUGAGAGGGUGAUCGGCCACACUGGAACUGAGACACGGUCCAGACUCCUACGGGAGGCAGCAGUAGGGAAUCUUCCGCAAUGGGCGAAAGCCUGACGGAGCAACGCCGCGUGAGUGAAGAAGGUCUUCGGAUCGUAAAACUCUGUUAUUAGGGAAGAACAAAUGUGUAAGUAACUAUGCACGUCUUGACGGUACCUAAUCAGAAAGCCACGGCUAACUACGUG
rnacentral:rRNA from 1 species